rnacentral:lncRNA from 1 species
CGUCUAAUAUUGUCGCAAAAAAAAAAACCUAACGUCUAAUAUGUGACUACAUAUUUUAUGGCACUAGCAGCGUUUGUGUCUUAUCUAUAUGCACUAAUUUGACCAGUUUUACUUAUUUGUUGGACUAAUCUUCACCCACCUGCUAAAUUAGUGUAUAGUUAAGCAAUAUACUCUAGAGAUACGGACCAUUUUAGCCUAGACCAGUCUCAAUGCAUAGUUUUAUGGUAUAGUUACCAAGACUAUAAAUUAGGUAACCGAACCACAUAAGUUUCAUGGGAUGAAACUCCUCUCUCAUCUGAUGAAACUCCUUCAUUUAAUGACCCUGCCAAGUCAACAAUUUUGCUUAUGUGGCACCCUAUUUAAUGUGCAUGACACUCCCACUAGUACAGGGAAGGGCUUUAGCCCCGGGCCGUAAGCGCCUUUAGUCCCGGCUACGGAACCGGGGCUAAGGUUUCGGGACUAAAUGUCCCACCUUUAGUCCCGGUUGGUAACAGCAACCGGGACUAAAAGGUGCGCCAGGGUGUGCCACCUGCCACUUUUAGUCCCGGUUGUUGCUAUCAACCGGGACUAAAGACUUUUUUCUUUUUUCUUUUUCUUUUCAUUUGGUUUUCCAUUUAGGGUUUACAAUUAUGUUAUUGUUAUUUUCGAAUGCGUAUUGUUUGCUGGUAGUUUAUGGAACGCGCACCUAUAAUUUAUAUAAUUUAAAGGAUUACAUAUAAAUAUACUAUAAAACACUAUAUAUAUAUAAUAUGUAUCUAUAGGUCCAUAAUAUAAUAUUUACACAUAUGCUUCACGGACAAAGUAUUUACAACACAAUUUAUCUCCGGCACUCAAGCAUCGUACAAAUGAUCAUCGUUAUUUGGUUUCAUCUGCUCCUGAGGGUUGAAGUAGCACUCGCCGCCGGGAUCCAGGACUUGGUCGUUAAGAAAUCCUGCGAUUGUCUCCUGAAUUCCUUUUAGGCGCACUGCAUCCAACACCUACUCCUUCAGCCACAUCUCCUUUAAUAGACAUUAAAGAAAAAAGUUAGAUGUAUGAAUAAGAUUUAUUAAAUAGCAAUAAAUAAAUGAAAUAAACUUAUUAUAUAUACAUGUUACAUACUUUUAGUUGCNNN